GAUGAACGCUGGCGGCGUGCCUAAUACAUGCAAGUCGAGCGAACGGACGAGAAGCUUGCUUCUCUGAUGUUAGCGGCGGACGGGUGAGUAACACGUGGAUAACCUACCUAUAAGACUGGGAUAACUUCGGGAAACCGGAGCUAAUACCGGAUGAUGUUUUGAACCGCAUGGUUCAAAAGUGAAAGACGGUCUUGCUGUCACUUAUAGAUGGAUCCGCGCUGCAUUAGCUAGUUGGUAAGGUAACGGCUUACCAAGGCAACGAUGCAUAGCCGACCUGAGAGGGUGAUCGGCCACACUGGAACUGAGACACGGUCCAGACUCCUACGGGAGGCAGCAGUAGGGAAUCUUCCGCAAUGGGCGAAAGCCUGACGGAGCAACGCCGCGUGAGUGAUGAAGGUCUUCGGAUCGUAAAACUCUGUUAUUAGGGAAGAACAUAUGUGUAAGUAACUGUGCACAUCUUGACGGUACCUAAUCAGAAAGCCACGGCUAACUACGUGCCAGCAGCCGCGGUAAUACGUAGGUGGCAAGCGUUAUCCGGAAUUAUUGGGCGUAAAGCGCGCGUAGGCGGUUUUUUAAGUCUGAUGUGAAAGCCCACGGCUCAACCGUGGAGGGUCAUUGGAAACUGGAAAACUUGAGUGCAGAAGAGGAAAGUGGAAUUCCAUGUGUAGCGGUGAAAUGCGCAGAGAUAUGGAGGAACACCAGUGGCGAAGGCGACUUUCUGGUCUGUAACUGACGCUGAUGUGCGAAAGCGUGGGGAUCAAACAGGAUUAGAUACCCUGGUAGUCCACGCCGUAAACGAUGAGUGCUAAGUGUUAGGGGGUUUCCGCCCCUUAGUGCUGCAGCUAACGCAUUAAGCACUCCGCCUGGGGAGUACGACCGCAAGGUUGAAACUCAAAGGAAUUGACGGGGACCCGCACAAGCGGUGGAGCAUGUGGUUUAAUUCGAAGCAACGCGAAGAACCUUACCAAAUCUUGACAUCCUUUGACAACUCUAGAGAUAGAGCCUUCCCCUUCGGGGGACAAAGUGACAGGUGGUGCAUGGUUGUCGUCAGCUCGUGUCGUGAGAUGUUGGGUUAAGUCCCGCAACGAGCGCAACCCUUAAGCUUAGUCGCCAUCAUUAAGUUGGGCACUCUAAGUUGACUGCCGGUGACAAACCGGAGGAAGGUGGGGAUGACGUCAAAUCAUCAUGCCCCUUAUGAUUUGGGCUACACACGUGCUACAAUGGACAAUACAAAGGGCAGCGAAACCGCGAGGUCAAGCAAAUCCCAUAAAGUUGUUCUCAGUUCGGAUUGUAGUCUGCAACUCGACUACAUGAAGCUGGAAUCGCUAGUAAUCGUAGAUCAGCAUGCUACGGUGAAUACGUUCCCGGGUCU
rnacentral:rRNA from 1 species